rnacentral:lncRNA from 1 species
UAAAAAUAUAUAAUACUAAUUAACAAAAAUAUACAACAAAAAAAAUACUAAAAAAAAUAAAAAUACUAAAUACUAAUUAAAUACUAAUAAAAAAAAUACUAAAUACUAAAAAAAUACUAAUACUAAUAAAAUACUAAAUCAAAACAAAAAAACUAAAAUAUUAAAAAAACUAAAAGUAAAAUAAAAAACUAAAAUUCAACAAAAACUAAAAUUGAACAAAAGGAACAACAACAAAAACUAAAAUUCAACAAAAAACCAAAAUUCAACAAAAGGAGCAGCAGCAGCAGCCCCCAAUUCGUUCCAUCCUCCCUACCCCCAAUUCGUUCCUCCUUCUUCUCUCCUCUCGAAAUCGUCUCAGCAACAACAAAAGGAGCAGCAGCAGCCAUGGCCACCGAUCAAAACCCAUUCUAUUUUCUCUAUCUAAACCCAUUCUUUUUUCUAUACUAAAUCAGUCAUCUAAACCCAUUCUAUUACUAAAAUACGAUAUCAAAUCUUCUUCCUCAUGCAGUCGUUCGGCGAUGGUCUUCUCUAAACCCAUUCAAAUCUUCUUUUUCAUAUCAGUCAUCAGAUCUAUUUUCUCUCUCUUUAAGGUUUUCUCUAGCAGUCGUUGGAUUUGGUUUGUUUUGGAUCUGGUCUGGGGUUUGCUGUGUCUGAUUUGGGGAUGGGUUUAUAUGUUUUGCUAAGCUUAUUUUUUUCUCAGAUCUUGACUUGAUUUCGCCGGAAUCUGGGUUUAUUUUUAUAUUUGUUUCGGUUGAUUAAUGUUUUAAUUUCCUAUCAACUGAUGCUUUUUUGUUCAUUGAUUUUAUGUUGGUUCGGAUGGUUCUUGGACAAAAGUGUUUUCCUUUAAUUGAGUUUUGGUGCCUAUGGAGGCUUGGAUGGACUGCUCUGCUGUUACAGGGCUCGGUUUUAUCUUCAACCUUUUGGGUUUUCUGGGUUUGAUUUGAGGAGCACGAUUGUUCUAAAAAGGAAUGAUUUUGAUGUGGGUAUGAAGUGUUGGUGAUGUUAUUUUCUUGCUCUUUGCUACAACUGCUUGGAUUAUUGGUUCCAUGAAUUUUUAUUUGGUGGCGGACGGCGGUGAUGGGUGGUGGAAGAGAAUAUUGGGGAUAGUUAUUAAUAAAUAUUGGGGAUAGUUAUCAAAUAUAUAUAAAAUAUUAUUUUUAUACACAUCAGAUGGUAUAAUAAUAUUUUUUGUUUUAAUUAUUUGACACGUCAGCAAAAUAUGUCUAACUGUCAAUUCUGUUUGUCUAGUUGGCACGUCUGUCAAUGGCAGGGACACAAAUGACCCAAAAAAUAUAAUGUUAAGGGUAUUUUUGGACUAAAAAAAAGUAUAGAAUGUUCGGUGGACAUUGAGAAAAAUAUCUAUUUUUGGACCUUAUCCCUAUUUAAUUAUGCGACGUUUUCAGGCUAUCUAAUGCAACAGCGUGUUCCUAUAAUAGUAAUACAGGCAAUCAAACACAUGGAAUAAUAGUAAUACAGGCAUGUUCCUAUACUUGAGCAUAGUGGAUAGACUCACGUUUGUGGUUUCAGACGUCAAUAGNNN